ensembl:lncRNA
UAACAACAAACUCCUUCAUGAACAACAUGCAUAGAUGUCAAGUCUGCUGUUCCAACUCAUUAGGCACACUGAUUAUGAUUUAUGAUUGAGUUGCACCUUGUUUCAAACCAAUCAGUGCCAGAUCAGAAUGGGAUUAGAUGUGAGUCCUUCUAUAAAGCUUCAGCAGCGUUCCUCAUUUCAGCAGCUGUAGUUGUAGUGGCAGGCUCACCGGCGUACUACAGUUGCUCGCCAGCUCAACCAUGGCUUUAAUAAUGAGGGUACUUCAAUUGUCUCUACUCCUUGAUGUGGGCUGUCAAGUACAUGCUUACAGGAUCGGAUAUGCUGAGCCGGAGAUGCCUGCA